UGAGUAACACGUGAGUGACCUGCCUUUUAGACUGGAACAACUUACCGAAAGGUGAGCUAAUGCCGGAUGAGUUAUAUAAGUGCAUGUUUAUAUAGGAAAAGUUGGGGAGACCUGACGCUGAAAGAUGGACUCGUGUCCCAUUAGCUAGUUGGUAGGGUAAUGGCCUACCAAGGCGACGACGGGUAGCCGGCCUGAGAGGGUGGCCGGCCACACUGGGACUGAGACACGGCCCAGACUCCUACGGAAGGCAGCAG
rnacentral:rRNA from 1 species